UACGUAGGGGGCAAGCGUUGUCCGGAUUCACUGGGUUUAAAGGGAGCGCAGGCGGAUUGGUAAGUCAGUGGUGAAAGGCUUAAGCUUAACUUGGGAACUGCCAUUGAUACUAUCAGUCUUAAAUGUUGUUGAGGUUUGCGGAAUGGGUCAUGUAGCGGUGAAAUGCAUAGAUAUGACCCGGAACACCAAUUGUCGAAGGCAGCUGGCUACACAAAUAUUGACACUGAGGCACGAAAGCGUGGGGAUCAAACAGG
rnacentral:rRNA from 1 species